rnacentral:rRNA from 1 species
CCUACGGGAGGCAGCAGUGAGGAAUAUUGGUCAAUGGACGAGAGUCUGAACCAGCCAAGUAGCGUGAAGGAUGACUGCCCUAUGGGUUGUAAACUUCUUUUAUAUGGGAAUAACAUGUUCCACGUGUGGGAUUUUGUAUGUACCAUAUGAAUAAGGAUCGGCGAACUCCGUGCCAGCAGCCGCGGUAAUACGGAGGAUCCGAGCGUUAUCCGGAUUUAUUGGGUUUAAAGGGAGCGUAGGUGGAUUGUUAAGUCAGUUGUGAAAGUUUGCGGCUCAACCGUAAAAUUGCAGUUGAAACUGGCAGUCUUGAGUACAGUAGAGGUGGGCGGAAUGCGUGGUGUAGCGGUGAAAUGCUUAGAUAUCACGAAGAACUCCGAUUGCGAAGGCAGUUCACUGGACUGCAACUGACACUGAGGCUCGAAAGUGUGGGUAUCAAACAGGAUUAGAUACCCUUGUAGUC